rnacentral:rRNA from 1 species
AUUGAACGCUGGCGGCAGGCCUAACACAUGCAAGUCGAACGAGCGGCGGACGGGUGCGUAAUGUAUGGGGAUAUGUCCGUAAGCUGGGGAUAACUAUAGGAAAAGCCUUGUAAUACCGUGCACCAUCGGCUUACCCUUGUGGUAUUAGCUAGGCGGUGAGGUAAUGGCUCACCUAGGCGACGAUCCCUAGACGGUCUGAGAGGGUGAUCAGCCACACUGGGACUGAGACACGGCCCAGACUCCUACGGGAGGCAGCAGUGGGGAAUAUUGCACAAUGGGCGAAAGCCUGAUGCAGCCAUGCCGCGUGUAUGAAGAAGGCCCUAGGGUUGUAAAGUACUUUCAGUAGGGAGGCGUUACCGACACAAGAAGCACCGGCUAACUCCGUGCCAGCAGCCGCGGUAAUUC